rnacentral:rRNA from 1 species
AGAGUUUGAUCCUGGCUCAGAUUGAACGCCGGCGGCAUGCCUUACACAUGCAAGUCGGACGGCAGCGCGGGAGCAAUCCUGGCGGCGAGUGGCGAACGGGUGAGUAAUACAUCGGAACAUGUCCAGUAGUGGGGGAUAGCCCGGCGAAAGCCGGAUUAAUACCGCAUACGAUCUAUGGAUGAAAGCGGGGGAUCGCAAGACCUCGCGCUAUUGGGGUGGCCGAUGGCGGAUUAGCUAGUUGGUGGGGUAAAGGCCUACCAAGGCGACGAUCCGUAGCUGGUCUGAGAGGACGACCAGCCACACUGGGACUGAGACACGGCCCAGACUCCUACGGGAGGCAGCAGUGGGGAAUUUUGGACAAUGGGGGCAACCCUGAUCCAGCAAUGCCGCGUGUGUGAAGAAGGCCUUCGGGUUGUAAAGCACUUUUGUCCGGGAAGAAAUCCCCUGCCCUAAUACGGCGGGGGGAUGACGGUACCGGAAGAAUAAGCACCGGCUAACUACGUGCCAGCAGCCGCGGUAAA